rnacentral:rRNA from 1 species
UACGUAGGGUGCAAGCGUUAAUCGGAAUUACUGGGCGUAAAGCGUGCGCAGGCGGUGAUGUAAGACAGUUGUGAAAUCCCCGGGCUCAACCUGGGAACUGCAUCUGUGACUGCAUCGCUGGAGUACGGUAGAGGGGGAUGGGAAUUCCGCGUGUAGCAGUGAAAUGCGUAGAUAUGCGGAGGAACACCGAUGGCGAAGGCAAUCCCCUGGACCUGUACUGACGCUCAUGCACGAAAGCGUGGGGAGCAA